ACAUCUGGGUUAUCAAUAGGAACAACUACAGGCCAAAAAGACAUACUUAUAAUCAAUUUUGAUCUGAGGUCAGAGUGUGCUGAUUCUGAGCUGAGAGCUACUUUACAAUGGAUAGCUGCUUCAGAGCUUGGAAUUCCAACUGUUUACUUCUGUAAAUCCCAGGAAAAACAAAUUGAAAAGUUUCUACAUGUUGUCCACCUGGUUCAUCGCAAGGCCUGGAAAGUUGGGGACCUUUUUCGUGCUAUAAUACAGUACUGUAAAGAGCAAGAACAACAUGAAGGACCCACAAUAAGCCUCUUUGACUGGAUUCUUGAGUUUGGCUAAAAUGAAGUUAAUGCCCAGAUUGUUCCAAACUGUAUUUGAAGUUAUGUGACAGUGGUUCAGUGUAAUGCAGUAGUUUGCUAAAAAUAUUGUGUUUUAGUAGAUGCAAGUUUACAAAUAAAUCUGGUUUGUACAUUUUAGAAAAAAUACAUUUCAAUGAAGACCACUGGGGAAACUGGUGGAAAUUCAGUAAAAUAAUUGGACAAUUGUAAACAGACUUAAUAAAGCGUUGUGUACUAAGAAAUGAAUAUUUUGAAGUCAUUAAGGUAUAUAUGUUUUGUAUAUUAGGCAUGUGGCAAAGGGUUGUAUUGUAUAGAACUGUUAAAAUGAGCACAAAUAUUUUUUCUAGCUGUCUUAUUUAUAAAUAUACAAAUGGAGAAUUGUUAUUUAAUGGUAUGUACGACAUUACUACAGAGCACGACAUUUACACUGCAUUACAUAUAUAUGACUUUUUUGGUCUAGAAUGGUCAUCAGUGAAAAAAUAAUAUGAUUUUCAAAAACUGGACAGAAUCUGAGUAUAUCAAGCCCAUGUAGCACUGAAAACUAAACACGUCUCCCCAAAUAACUUGCCAAAGAUCACACUUUAUUUUGCAGCACAGGUAUUUACUGUAUCGUUAUGAAACUUUCAUUUUUCAUAGUCUUAAUCAGUUAUUUCAUUAUUCUUAAUAAAAUAGUGCUCUUACAAUUUCUGUUUCUGAAUUUAGAUAUUUCUACUGUUUAAUAUUAGUACAUUAAAUGAUAGUGCACAUUAUGUGAGAUUUUUCAUUACAGUAUUCUUGCAAUAAUCCUGCCAUACACUAAAAUCAUUUAUGCACUAAUAUAUCUGGCAUAGGUCUAAUCUUAGCGCAAGAGAUGUGUAAAUUGGAAAAGCCAUGUAAUGUUUUAUUGUGUGUUUCUAUGUAUUGCAGAAAGAAAAUCUCCAUUCAUAUUUUUCAUCUUCAGUGACAAAUGUCUGUUACUAAGGACUUCUGUAGCCUACAUUUACUAUUUGUUAUAACUCAGUCACUUUUGAAGGUGUGUGGUACACACCUAAUAUGUGUACAUCAUUAAGACAAAGGAAGCUGCCUCAAGAUCUCAUGCGAACAAGCAUACUUUAGAAAGUUAAAAUGUUCCAUACACUUUAGUAGUAAAUGACAACUGAUUGUGAACUUAAAAGACGUGUCUAUGAUAGACAAAAAAGGUUUUCUUGUCCAGCAGAGCACAAACCAUGAAAACAAACAUCAUUAGCAUGGAUACCAUGCUCCUGUAUUAACUAUGUGUGAAGAAAUAAAGAUGUGUACUGUGUU